rnacentral:rRNA from 1 species
GACGAACGCUGGCGGCGUGCUUAACACAUGCAAGUCGAACGGAAAGGCCCUGCUUUUGUGGGGUGCUCGAGUGGCGAACGGGUGAGUAACACGUGAGUAACCUGCCCUUGACUUUGGGAUAACUUCAGGAAACUGGGGCUAAUACCGGAUAGGAGCUCCUGCUGCAUGGUGGGGGUUGGAAAGUUUCCGCGGUUGGGGAUGGACUCGCGGCUUAUCAGCUUGUUGGUGGGGUAGUGGCUUACCAAGGCUUUGACGGGUAGCCGGCCUGAGAGGGUGACCGGCCACAUUGGGACUGAGAUACGGCCCAGACUCCUACGGGAGGCAGCAGUGGGGAAUAUUGCACAAUGGGCGGAAGCCUGAUGCAGCAACGCCGCGUGCGGGAUGACGGCCUUCGGGUUGUAAACCGCUUUCGCCUGUGACGAAGCGUGAGUGACGGUAAUGGGUAAAGAGGCACCGGCUAACUACGUG